rnacentral:rRNA from 1 species
ACAGCCGCCGCGGUAAUACGUAGGUGGCAAGCGUUGUCCGGAAUUACUGGGCGUAAAGGGCGUGUAGGCGGGGGAGCAAGUCAGAUGUGAAAUCCCAUGGCUUAACUGUGGAGCUGCAUCUGAAACUGCUUCUCUUGAGUACUGGAGAGGAAAGUGGAAUUCCAAGUGUAGCGGUGAAAUGCGUAGAGAUUUGGAGGAACACCAGUGGCGAAGGCGGCUUUCUGGACAGUAACUGACGCUGAGGCGCGAAAGCGUGGGGAGCAAACAGGAUUAGAUACCCUGGUAGUCCACGCUGUAAACGAUGGAUACUAGGUGUAGGAGGUAUCGACCCCUUCUGUGCCGGAGUUAACACAAUAAGUAUCCCGCCUGGGGAGUACGGCCGCAAGGUUGAAACUUAAAGGAAUUGGCGGGGGAU